GACGAACCGCCCGAACGUUGUUCGGAAUCACUGGGCUUAAAGGGAGCGUAGGCGGGCUACCAAGUCCGGGGUGAAAUCCUCCAGCUUAACUGGAGAACUGCCUCGGAUACUGGAAGUCUCGAGGAGGGUAGGGGCAAGUGGAACCGUGGGUGGAGCGGUGAAAUGCGUUGAUAUCCAUGGGAAACUCCGGUGGCGAAGGCGACUUGCUGGACCCUUUCUGACGCUGAGGAGCGAAAGCAUGGGGAGCGAACAGG
rnacentral:rRNA from 1 species